AUUGAACGCUGGCGGCAGGCUUAACACAUGCAAGUCGAACGAGUGGCGGACGGGUGAGUAAUGCUUGGGAAUCUAGCUUAUGGAGGGGGAUAACUACGGGAAACAGUAGCUAAUAACGCGUACCAUAGGAUGCACACAAGUGGGAUUAGGUCGUUGGUGAGGUAAAGGCUCACCAAGACGACGAUCUCUAGCUAGUCUGAGAGGAUGACCAGCGAAACUGUGACUGAGACACGGCCGAGAGUCCUACGGAUGGCAGCAGUGGGGAAUAUUGCGCAAGGGGGGCAAACUGACACAGCCAUGCCGCGUGAAUGAAGAAGGCUUUCGGGUUGUAAAGUUGUUUCGGUAGCGAGGCGUUAACUACAGAAGAAGCACCGGCUAACUCCGUGCCAGCAGCCGCGGUAAUUC
rnacentral:rRNA from 1 species